CUCUCUUGUUGCUCUAAAGUACUUCUGGUUUCCUUGCAAGUCUGGCCUAGAGGUAAAUAACAUCUUAUUAAAUGAUUUAAUAUGAAAGCAUAUUGAUACAAAGUAGCAUUCUUAGUUUGGGGUAAAGUGCAGCAGCAACUCAGACUCCUCAUGAACAGCUGUGAUGUACAGGUCAACCCAGACUCCUCAUUAACAGCUGUGAUAUACAGGUCAACCCAGACUCCUCAUUAACAGCUGUGAUGUACAGGUCAACCCAGACUCCUCAUUAACAGCUGUGAUGUACAGGUCAACCCAGACUCCUCAUUAACAGCUGUGAUGUACAGGUCAACCCAGACUCCUCAUUAACAGCUGUGAUGUACAGGUC
rnacentral:lncRNA from 1 species